rnacentral:rRNA from 1 species
GUGGGGAAUCUUGCGCAAUGCGCGAAAGCGUGACGCAGCAACGCCGCGUGGGGGAAGAAGGCCUUCGGGUUGUAAACCCCUUUCAGGAGGGACGAAGCCCGGGCGGUGAAUAGCCGACUCGGGUGACGGUACCUCCAGAAGAAGCCCCGGCUAACUACGUGCCAGCAGCCGCGGUAAUACGUAGGGGGCAAGCGUUGUCCGGAAUUAUUGGGCGUAAAGAGCGUGUAGGCGGUCCGGUUAGUCGGCUGUGAAAGUCAAGGGCUCAACCCUUGAAUGCCGGUCGAUACUGCCGGACUAGAGUUCGGAAGAGGCGAGUGGAAUUCCCGGUGUAGCGGUGAAAUGCGCAGAUAUCGGGAGGAACACCUAUGGCGAAGGCAGCUCGCUGGGACGAGACUGACGCUGAGACGCGAAAGCGUGGGGAGCAAACAGGAUUAGAUACCCUGGUAGUCCACGCCGUAAACGAUGGGCACUAGGUGUGGGAGGUGUCGACUCCUCCCGUGCCGCAGCUAACGCAUUAAGUGCCCCGCCUGGGGAGUACGGCCGCAAGGC